AGCCCUGAGGUGUAUUCACAUCAGAUUGCAAAUCUGAAGGAGUAGAUUAGCGUUUACCGGGGCUU
rnacentral:tRNA from 1 species